ACACGGGGGGCGCAAGCGUUAUUCGGAAUUAUUGGGCGUAAAGGGCGCGUAGGCGGUCUUGUCGGUCAGAUGUGAAAGCCCAGGGCUCAACCCUGGACGUGCAUUUGAAACAGCAAGACUUGAGUACGGGAGAGGAAAGCGGAAUUCCUGGUGUAGAGGUGAAAUUCGUAGAUAUCAGGAGGAACACCGAUGGCGAAGGCAGCUUCCUGGACCGAUACUGACGCUGAGGCGCGAAGGCGUGGGUAGCGAACAGGAUUAGAUACCCCGGUAGUCC
rnacentral:rRNA from 1 species